AGAGUUUGAUCAUGGCUCAGAUUGAACGCUGGCGGCGUGCCUAACACAUGCAAGUCGAGCGGUAACAGGUGUAGCAAUACAUGCUGACGAGCGGCGGACGGGUGAGCAAUAUUUGGGAAUCUGCCUAUUAGUGGGGGACAACCCGGGGAAACUCGGGCUAAUACCGCAUACGCACUACGGUGGAAAGCCGGGGACCGCAAGGCCUGGCGCUAAUAGAUGAGCCCAAAUCGGAUUAGCUAGUUGGUGAGGUAACGGCUCACCAAGGCGACGAUCCGUAGCUGGUCUGAGAGGACGACCAGCCACACCGGAACUGAGACACGGUCCGGACUCCUACGGGAGGCAGCAGUGGGGAAUAUUGGACAAUGGGCGAAAGCCUGAUCCAGCGACGCCGCGUGGGUGAAGAAGGCCUGCGGGUUGUAAAGCCCUUUCGGUGGGGAUAAAAAGCCUUGGUUUAACACACCAGGGUCUUGAUCUAACCCAAGAAAGAAGCACCGGCUAACUCUGUGCCAGCAGCCGCGGUAAUACAGAGGGUGCGAGCGUUAAUCGGAAUUACUGGGCGUAAAGCGCGCGUAGGUGGCUUGGCAAGUCGAGUGUGAAAUCCCCGGGCUUAACCUGGGAACUGCAUUCGAGACUGCUUUGCUAGAGUAUGGGAGAGGGAAGUGGAAUUUCCGGUGUAGCGGUGAAAUGCGUAGAUAUCGGAAGGAACAUCAGUGGCGAAGGCGACUUCCUGGACCAAUACUGACACUCAAGUGCGAAAGCGUGGGGAGCAAACAGGAUUAGAUACCCUAGUAGUCC
rnacentral:rRNA from 1 species